GUUGAACGCUGGCGGCAUGCCUUACACAUGCAAGUCGAACGGCAGCGGGGGAGAAGCUUGCUUUUCCUGCCGGCGAGUGGCGAACGGGUGAGUAAUACAUCGGAACGUGCCCUGUAGUGGGGGAUAACUAGUCGAAAGAUUAGCUAAUACCGCAUACGACCUGAGGGUGAAAGUGGGGGACCGCAAGGCCUCAUGCUAUAGGAGCGGCCGAUGUCUGAUUAGCUAGUUGGUGGGGUAAAGGCCUACCAAGGCGACGAUCAGUAGCUGGUCUGAGAGGACGAUCAGACACACUAGGACUGAGACACGGCCCAGACUCCUACGGGAGGCAGCAGUGGGGAAUUUUGGACAAUGGGCGAAAGCCUGAUCCAGCAAUGCCGCGUGUGUGAAGAAGGCCUUCGGGUUGUAAAGCACUUUUGUCCGGAAAGAAAUGGCUCUGGUUAAUAUCUGGGGUCGAUGACGGUACCGGAAGAAUAAGGACCGGCUAACUACGUGCCAGCAGCCGCAGUAA
rnacentral:rRNA from 1 species